AAUAGAAUGACUGAUUUAGGUGAUAAAUUGUAAAUUUAUUUAAGAAAAUUUAAUUUUUUCUUCUAUUA
rnacentral:tRNA from 1 species